UACGGGGGGAGCAAGCGUUGUUCGGAUUUACUGGGCGUAAAGGGCGCGUAGGCGGCCACCGCAAGUCGACUGUGAAAUCUCCGGGCUUAACCCGGAAAGGUCAGCCGAUACUGCGGGGCUAGAGUACAGAAGGGGCAACUGGAAUUCUCGGUGUAGCGGUGAAAUGCGUAGAUAUCGAGAGGAACACCUGCGGCGAAGGCGGGUUGCUGGGCUGAUACUGACGUGAGGCGCGAAAGCCAGGGGAGCGAACGGG
rnacentral:rRNA from 1 species